rnacentral:misc_RNA from 1 species
GAUGAAGAACGUAGCGAAAUGCGAUAAGUAAUGUGAAUUGCAGAAUUCAGUGAAUCAUCGAAUCUUUGAACGCAUCUUGCGCUCCUUGGUAUUCCUUGGAGCACGCCUGUUUGAGUAUCAUGAGCAAAUCUCAAAGUCAAUUCCUUUUGUUGAUUCAAUUGGUUUUGCUUUGGACUUGGAGGCCUUGCAGAUUUCACAGUCUGCUCCUCUUAAAUGCAUUAGCUGGAUCUCAGUAAUUAUGCUUGGUUCCACUCGGCGUGAUAAGUAUCACUCGCUGAGGACACUGUUAAAAAGGUGGCCAGGAAAAUACUGAUUGAACCGCUUCUAACGGUCUAUUAAGUUAGACAAUUACCCUUAAGUUUGAUCUCAAAUCAGGUAGGACUACCCGCUGAACUUAAGCAUAUCAAUAAGCGGAGGA